rnacentral:ncRNA from 2 species
AAAUAUCUUCAGGGUGAGGUUUGAUUCCUAACCGGCAGUUAAAGUCUGCGAGUUUUUUACUGAAUGGGUGAAAUUCCCAUACCGACAGUUAUAGUCUGGAUGAGAGAAGAUAUUC